ensembl:lncRNA
GAGAGAGCGUGAGGAAAAUCGGAGAGAACGAGUGGUGGCUAAUAAGCAGGGAAAAGAGUAGAAGAGUUGAUUUUGCAGUUGAAAAACAUAAUUUACCUGUUCGGGAACUGACAGGGAUUUUAUGAGAACUAAGCCACACCGGUUGUAGUCAGUUUUUUUUGGUGUUGAAGCUCGGUCGGAGCGAGGAUUGGUCUUCAGCGUGCCUGCAUGUGCAUAGACGGGAUUCAAGAUGGCGAGCCAGGCCCAGACCUUGAAUUUAUCUUCUCCAUUGCACCAGUGAGGAAAUCUCCUGCGUAUGGUGACUCGCUGCCAGAGUGGUAGGAGUGUCAGGAAAUAUUUUUGAACGGAACUGGGAAAUGAUUGAAUUAUUAUUUUUGGACUGAAGCGAACAAACUUUUAAUUGAACUGAAUAAUUGAACUCACAUUUGGACUUGAACUUGAAUUUAAGGUGUUAUACUUUUAUUUUCAUAUUGGGUUCAUAUUUUUGAAUGUGAUCUGAAAUGAUUGUGGUCCACUUUGAUUUGAUUGUGUAAUUGAAGGUAUUGUUUUACCCUUAAAAGAAAGGAAGAAAUUAGUUAACUCAGGAAGAAAAAUAGGAAUUCUAAAUUAGGUGCAACCUAGGAAAAAGAGACUGGUCUAACUUAGAUUAGUUUGACUAAAAUAACUUAAAGAGAGUGAAAUACCCUUUCAUUUAUUAUACUUACCUCAAUAUUAAGAACCUGCAGGGUAUUUUUGUUUUGUGUACUGUAUUUUAUAAGUGUGUUUUGUGUUCAGUAAAUUGCCAGCCUUUUGAAUUUAAAGCAACAGUCUCUGGUGUAAUUAUUUUCUGCUCCCCACUCCUUAGAACCUAGAACUGGUCCAGUGGCGCAGUAAGUGGUGUGAUACCGGUGCUACACAGUUCUAUCCUUCCCCACCUAAACCAUCCUGGUCUAGAGGCUGCUUUGAAACAUCCCAAGGUCAUCAUUGUUCAUGAAGCAGGCUUCAGCCUUGCCAAAACUCAACACCCUGGGUGCAAUAUCAACAGCAAAAGAGCAACAGUCCGGACAAUGUAUGGGAAUAUCUUGAUGUGUGCAGCCAUAUCAGAAGAUAGGGUGGUAGGAUGUACACCCUUCUUGGUUCCUGCACAACUCAUUGAGUUCUUCAAAAACGUUGAGCCAUUGUAUCAAGGUAAGGAGGUCACCUACUGUGGGACAAAGAAGUAUUUAGUCAGCCACCAAUUGUGCAAGUUCUCCCACUU